rnacentral:rRNA from 1 species
GACGAACGCUGGCGGCGUGCCUAAUACAUGCAAGUAGAACGCAGUUGCGAACGGGUGAGUAAAGCGUAGGUAACUGCCUCAUAGGGGGGGGUAACUAUUGGGAACGAUAGGUAAUACCGCAUACUGUGAGAUGGACGUGCGUUGUAUUUGGUAGUUGGUGAGGUAAAGGCUCACCAAGGCGACGAUACAUAACCGACCUGAGAGGGUGAUCGGCCAACACGGGAAUGGGGAACGGCCCAGACCCCUACGGGGGGGAGCCGUAGGGAAUCUUCGGCAAUGGACGGAAGUCUGACCGAGCAACGCCGCGGGAGUGAAGAAGGUUUUCGGAGUGUAAAGGUCUGUUGUGAGAGAAGCGGUAACUAAACAGAAAGGAACGGCUAACUACGUGCCAGCAGCCGCGGUAAUAC